GGAAAAUUUCUAUCAUAAACACGUUCGAAGAUUCUCUACACAUAUUACUAGUUUUAGAAUUCGAAAAUAACAAGUGUGAAAGAUAUAUAUUCAAAUGCAAAAAGAAAGAAGAGGCAGCCAAAGAAAAAAUUUGGAUUCCCUAAAGUCAGAAAUUCCUUCAUUUCCUGCAUUUUGUCUCUCUUUUAUUUUUUUUAACCGUAAAACACUAAUUUCAUUUUUUAAACAUAAAAAACAUUACAUAUAGAUUGAAUAGAAAUCAAAUGGAUAUAAACAAAUCGGAAUCCAAUUCCUAAGAAAUAUCCUAUCUUGUUUUGUGCAAGGUUCAUGACAAAGGAGGAUUCAGAAACUACAAUGUCAAAUUCAAUUUAGUUACAGUUAAUUUCUUUGACUUUUGCAAGCUUGUUUCUACAAUGGUGGUCUCACAGUUGUCCAAGUAAACCACAUGUUCGGAAACCAGAUGAUAGAGAUAGAAGAAUGUCACUCCCAUUUGAUUCUUCAAGCUUUAUAUUAUUUCAGAGGCUCUUUCAGAAAUUUCUACUAACAUCUGAAGUGUAUUCUGAAAAUAAAUUACCCACAGAAAUGCCCCAUACAAAUGAGAUCCCCCAUCGGAAAAUUUAAGGCUAAACUACAGUUUUGACCCCUUAAGUUUGUCAAUGUUGCGAUUUUAGCCCCCUAAUAAAAAAAUGAAUAUUUUGCCCCCUAUGUUUUAGCCCCUUUGCAAAAGUGACAUUUUGGUCAAUUUUGACCCAAUCAAUGCUUAUGUGGCAUGCCACAUGUGUAAAUACUGAAUUAAAAAAAUUAAAAAUCUACAUAAUCAUUUUCUAAAUUAAAUAAUUAAAAAAG
rnacentral:lncRNA from 1 species